rnacentral:rRNA from 1 species
UACGUAGGGUGCGAGCGUUGUCCGGAAUUAUUGGGCGUAAAGAGCUUGUAGGCGGUUUGUCGCGUCUGCUGUGAAAAUCCGGGGCUCAACCCCGGACUUGCAGUGGGUACGGGCAGACUAGAGUGUGGUAGGGGAGACUGGAAUUCCAGGUGUAGCGGUGAAAUGCGUAGAUAUCUGGAGGAACACCGGUGGCGAAGGCGGCCCGCUGGGCUGUGGCUGACGCUGAGGCGCGACAGCGUGGGGAGCAAACAGG